GAUGAACGCUGGCGGCGUGCCUAAUACAUGCAAGUCGAGCGAACAGAUGAGGAGCUUGCUCCUCUGACGUUAGCGGCGGACGGGUGAGUAACACGUGGAUAACCUACCUAUAGGACUGGGAUAACUUCGGGAAACCGGAGCUAAUACCGGAUAAUAUAUUGAACCGCAUGGUUCAAAAGUGAAAGACGGUUUUGCUGUCACUUAUAGAUGGAUCCGCGCCGCAUUAGCUAGUUGGUAAGGUAACGGCUUACCAAGGCAACGAUGCGUAGCCGACCUGAGAGGGUGAUCGGCCACACUGGAACUGAGACACGGUCCAGACUCCUACGGGAGGCAGCAGUAGGGAAUCUUCCGCAAUGGGCGAAAGCCUGACGGAGCAACGCCGCGUGAGUGAUGAAGGUCUUCGGAUCGUAAAACUCUGUUAUUAGGGAAGAACAAAUGUGUAAGUAACUAUGCACGUCUUGACGGUACCUAAUCAGAAAGCCACGGCUAACUACGUG
rnacentral:rRNA from 1 species